rnacentral:misc_RNA from 1 species
AAGUCGUAACAAGGUUUCCGUAGGUGAACCUGCGGAAGGAUCAUUAAAGAGAAAGGGGGCUAAACACCCCGACCUCCAACCCUCUGUUGUUAAAACUACCUUUGUUGCUUUGGCGGGACCGUUUUCGGUUUCCAACCGGGCCGCCGGGCACCUUCACGGGUGUCAAGGCGAGUUCCCGCCAGAGUUAAACCAAACUCUUGUUAUUUAAACCGGUCGUCUGAGUAAAUUUUUUUGAAUUAAAUCAAAA